rnacentral:rRNA from 1 species
UAGGGAAUCUUCAGCAAUGGGGGCAACCCUGACCGAGCAACGCCGCGUGAGUGAAGAAGGUUUUCGGAUCGUAAAGCUCUGUUGUAAGAGAAGAACGUGUGUGAGAGUGGAAAGUUCACACAGUGACGGUAACUUACCAGAAAGGGACGGCUAACUACGUACCAG